GUAAUUAUUAAGUUUUUCAGACGCUGAUUGAAAAUUAAAAAGGUUAUAGGGUUGUCCAGUCGGCAGGCAAGCCUGCCGAGGAAACGUGGGUGCGCAAAAGACAAGGGUAGAUAAAAGAGGCCAGCUGCUCAUCAGCUUGCGCUAUACAGACUAACAACCUCCUUUACAGUAGUAAACUACUGAGUGUAAUGAUCCUUCCGCAGGUUCACCUACGGAAA
rnacentral:misc_RNA from 1 species